GAUGAACGCUGGCGGCGUGCCUAAUACAUGCAAGUCGAACGAAACUUCUUUAUCACCGAGUGCUUGCGCCCACCGAUAAAGAGUUGAGUGGCGAACGGGUGAGUAACACGUGGGCAACCUGCCCAAAAGAGGGGGAUAACACUUGGAAACAGGUGCUAAUACCGCAUAACCAUAGUUACCGCAUGGUAACUAUGUAAAAGGUGGCUAUACUACCGCUUUUGGAUGGGCCCGCGGCGCAUUAGCUAGUUGGUAGGGUAAAGGCUUACCAAGGCAAUGAUGCGUAGCCGAAUUGAGAGGUUGAUCGGCCACAUUGGGACUGAGACACGGCCCAAACUCCUACGGGAGGCAGCAGUAGGGAAUCUUCCACAAUGGGCGAAAGCCUGAUGGAGCAACGCCGCGUGGGUGAAGAAGGUCUUCGGAUCGUAAAACCCUGUUGUUAGAGAAGAAAGUGCGUGAGAGUAACUGUUCACGUUUCGACGGUAUCUAACCAGAAAGCCACGGCUAACUACGUG
rnacentral:rRNA from 1 species